AGCCCCCAUUCCUGGGGCUCCCCGAGGAGCUGGCUUUCAGCAGGGUUUAGAGCAGCACGAAAAGUGAACUGACCCUGGAAAAAUGGCCUUAGACCUUGUGAUCCAAGAUGGCUGCUGGACCUCCAGUUCCAAGCAGGAAGUACAGGAAGCGGGCAAAGGCAACAAGGGUGUGAUGAACAUGAAGCCAGCCCCCUUCGCUGAGAUUUCCCAGAAACCUCACCCCCUGAUUUCUGCUUGCACUCACUGGCCAAUUCUAUCUGCAAGGAUGAUAAGAAAUAUUUUAUUUUAGCUGAGCACAUUGCUGCCCAGUGUUCUAUUACCAUGAAAAUAAGAGGAAAAUGGAUGUUGUGUAACCCAGAGGCUUGGUGCAUGCAUCAGAAUCUUCUGGUGGCCUUAUUAAGACACGGUAGUUCCCCCUUAUUCACGGGAGAUCCAUUCCAAGACCCCCAAUGGAUGCCUAAAACCACAGAUAGUACUGAA
rnacentral:lncRNA from 1 species